rnacentral:rRNA from 1 species
GCAGCCAUCAUUUAAAGAAAGCGUAAUAGCUCACUGAUCGAGUCGUCCUGCGCGGAAGAUGUACCGGGGCUAAAUUGGUAACCGAAGCUGCGGAUGCAUGCUUGCAUGCAUGGUAGAGGAGCGUUCUGUAAGCCGUUGAAGGUGAACCGAGAGGUUUGCUGGAGGUAUCAGAAGUGCGAAUGCUGACAUGAGUAACGAUAAUGGGGGUGAAAAACCCCCACGCCGGAAGACCAAGGUUUCCUGUCCCAUGCUAAUCAGGGCAGGGUAAGUCGGCCCCUAAGGCGAGGCGGAAACGCGUAGUCGAUGGGAAACAGGUUAAUAUUCCUGUACCGAUUACAAGUGCGAUGUGGGGACGGAGAAGGUUAGCUCAGCCAACUGUUGGAUAUGUUGGUUCAAGCCUGUAGUCAUGCCUGGUAGGCAAAUCCGCCGGGCUAAGAUGAGGGGUGAUAACGAGUGUGCUUGCACACGAAGUGAGUGAUACCCUGCUUCCAGGAAAAGCCACUAAGCUUCAGCUUGUAACGACCGUACCGCAAACCGACACUGGUGCGCGAGAUGAGUAUUCUAAGGCGCUUGAGAGAACUCUGGAGAAGGAACUCGGCAAAUUGACACCGUAACUUCGGGAGAAGGUGUGCCCUCAGUAGGUGAACCUGUACAAGGGGAGCCCAAAGGGGUUGCAAAGAAUAGGUGGCUGCGACUGUUUAUUAAAAACACAGCACUCUGCAAACACGAAAGUGGACGUAUAGGGUGUGACGCCUGCCCGGUGCUGGAAGAUUAAUUGAUGGGGUGCAAGCUCUUGAUCGAAGUCCCAGUAAACGGCGGCCGUAACAAUAACGGUCCUAAGGUAGCGAAAUUCCUUGUCGGGUA